AUUGAACGCUGGCGGCAGGCCUAACACAUGCAAGUCGAACGGUAACAGGAAGCAGCUUGCUGCUUUGCUGACGAGUGGCGGACGGGUGGGUAAUGUCUGGGAAACUGCCCGAUGGAGGGGGAUAACUACUGGAAACGGUAGCUAAUACCGCAUAACGUCGCAAGACCAAAGAGGGGGACCUUAGGGCCUCUUGCCAUCGGAUGUGCCCAGAUGGGAUUAGCUAGUAGGUGGGGUAACGGCUCACCUAGGCGACGAUCCCUAGCUGGUCUGAGAGGAUGACCAGCCACACUGGAACUGAGACACGGUCCAGACUCCUACGGGAGGCAGCAGUGGGGAAUAUUGCACAAUGGGCGCAAGCCUGAUGCAGCCAUGCCGCGUGUAUGAAGAAGGCCUUUGGGUUGUAAAGUACUUUCAGCGGGGAGGAAGGAAGUAAAGUUAAUACCUUUGCUCAUUGACGUUACCCGCAGAAGAAGCACCGGCUAACUCCGUG
rnacentral:rRNA from 1 species